GUGGCUCAGAGGUAAAGCGGGUUGGACCUCAACCACAAGAUUGGUGGUUUGAUCCCAGGCUCCUCCAGCCACAUGUCAAAGUGUCCUUGAGGAAGAAGAGAAGAUGA